rnacentral:lncRNA from 1 species
GUAGGCUAGAGUUGGAACCCAAUAGAAAUCACAAGUUAAGGUUCAGGCACAUGGAUAGCUGUUUUACAUGCACUCUUAUUCAAGGCUAAAUCUUUGGUAUAUUCCAUCCUUUCAAGUCUUCUUUACUGCAUCUUCCCAUGUCAACUUGGGUCUUCCCUUACAUCUCUUUCUAUUGCUAUCGCGCCUUAGGAUUACACUACACACUAGUGCCUCUAGAGGUCUCUGUUGCACAUGUCCAAACUAUCUCAAUUGGUGUUGGACAAGCUUUUUAUAGUUUCAUACUCAAUCCGUUCUUGUAUGGCCACAAACUCAACGCAACAUAUGCAUUUCCACAACAUUUAUCUGCUAAACAUGUUGUCUUUUUGUAGGCUAACAUUCUACACCAUAGAACAUAGCAGGUCUAAUCGCCGUCCUAUUAAACUUGCCUUUUAGCUUCUAUGGUACCCUCUUGUCACAUAGAACGUCAGAUGUUUGACGCCACUUUAUCCACUCAGCUUUAAUUCUAUGGCUAACAUCUUUAUCAAUAUCCUCGUCUCUCUGUAGCAAUGAUCCUAAAUAUCGAAAUCUAUCCUUCUUGUGCACUACUUGAUCUUCUAAACUAGCAUCCUUCCUCAUGUUUAUCAAUACCAAAGUCACAUAUCAUGUAUUAUUUUUUAGUUCUACUAAAUUAAAAACCUUUGGACUCUAGAAUCUCCCA